rnacentral:rRNA from 1 species
UGAUUGAACGCUGGCGGCAGGCCUAACACAUGCAAGUCGAACGGUAACAGGAAGCAGCUUGCUGCUUUGCUGACGAGUGGCGGACGGGUGAGUAAUGUCUGGGAAACUGCCUGAUGGAGGGGGAUAACUACUGGAAACGGUAGCUAAUACCGCAUAACGUCGCAAGACCAAAGAGGGGGACCUUAGGGCCUCUUGCCAUCGGAUGUGCCCAGAUGGGAUUAGCUAGUAGGUGGGGUAACGGCUCACCUAGGCGACGAUCCCUAGCUGGUCUGAGAGGAUGACCAGCCACACUGGAACUGAGACACGGUUCAGACUCCUACGGGAGGCAGCAGUGGGGAAUAUUGCACAAUGGGCGCAAGCCUGAUGCAGCCAUGCCGCGUGUAUGAAGAAGGCCUUCGGGUUGUAAAGUACUUUCAGCGGGGAGGAAGGGAGUAAAGUUAAUACCUUUGCUCAUUGACGUUACCCGCAGAAGAAGCACCGGCUAACUCCGUGCCAGCAGCCGCGGUAAUACGGAGGGUGCAGGCGUUAAUCGGAAUUACUGGGCGUAAAGCGCACGCAGGCGGUUUGUUAAGUCAGAUGUGAAAUCCCCGGGCUCAACCUGGGAACUGCAUCUGAUACUGGCAAGCUUGAGUCUCGUAGAGGGGGGUAGAAUUCCAGGUGUAGCGGUGAAAUGCGUAGAGAUCUGGAGGAAUACCGGUGGCGAAGGCGGCCCCCUGGACGAAGACUGACGCUCAGGUGCGAAAGCGUGGGGAGCAAACAGGAUUAGAUACCCUGGUAGUCCACGCCGUAAACGAUGUCGACUUGGAGGUUGUGCCCUUGAGGCGUGGCUUCCGGAGCUAACGCGUUAAGUCGACCGCCUGGGGAGUACGGCCGCAAGGUUAAAACUCAAAUGAAUUGACGGGGGCCCGCACAAGCGGUGGAGCAUGUGGUUUAAUUCGAUGCAACGCGAAGAACCUUACCUGGUCUUGACAUCCACGGAAGUUUUCAGAGAUGAGAAUGUGCCUUCGGGAACCGUGAGACAGGUGCUGCAUGGCUGUCGUCAGCUCGUGUUGUGAAAUGUUGGGUUAAGUCCCGCAACGAGCGCAACCCUUAUCCUUUGUUGCCAGCGGUCCGGCCGGGAACUCAAAGGAGACUGCCAGUGAUAAACUGGAGGAAGGUGGGGAUGACGUCAAGUCAUCAUGGCCCUUACGACCAGGGCUACACACGUGCUACAAUGGCGCAUACAAAGAGAAGCGACCUCGCGAGAGCAAGCGGACCUCAUAAAGUGCGUCGUAGUCCGGAUUGGAGUCUGCAACUCGACUCCAUGAAGUCGGAAUCGCUAGUAAUCGUGGAUCAGAAUGCCACGGUGAAUACGUUCCCGGGCCUUGUACACACCGCCCGUCACACCAUGGGAGUGGGUUGCAAAAGAAGUAGGUAGCUUAACCUUCGGGAGGGCGCUUACCACUUUGU